GAAGGGUAGAGACGUGACAGCGUUUGGAAGGGGAGAGGGGUGACAGCGUUUGGAAGGGGUGACAGCGUUUGGAAGGGUAGAAGGGGUGACAGCGUUUGGAAGGGUAGAGACGUGACAGCGUUUGGAAGGGUAGAGACGUGACAGCGUUUGGAAGGGUAGAGACGUGACAGCGUUUGGAAGGGUAGAGACGUGACAGCGUUUGGAAGGGUAGAGACGUGACAGCGUUUGGAAGGGGAGAGGGGUGACAG